GGCAAUUAUUCUAAAUGGUGAUGGAAUCGGAAUCGAAUUUUUGACGAUGAAGGUUUUAGAACCAAUACUAUAGCAAAUGAGAAUCUAGUCAAGAGGCUCUCGACAAAUUCCAAACCUCUUUAAAAAUCAUUUGUGAAGAAUCGGAAGCUGGAACCCCAGCGAUAAUGGAGAAUUACAUUUGAACC
ensembl:ncRNA C28H8.14 ncRNA